rnacentral:rRNA from 1 species
UAGGGAAUCUUCGGCAAUGGGGGGAACCCUGACCGAGCAACGCCGCGUGAGUGAAGAAGGAUUUCGGUUCGUAAAACUCUGUUGUUAGAGAAGAACAGCGCAUAGAGUAACUGUUAUGCGUGUGACGGUAUCUAACCAGAAAGCCACGGCUAACUACGUGCCAGCAGCCGCGGUAAUACGUAGGUGGCAAGCGUUGUCCGGAUUUAUUGGGCGUAAAGCGAGCGCAGGCGGUCAAUUAAGUCUGAUGUGAAAGCCCCCGGCUCAACCGGGGAGGGUCAUUGGCAACUGGUUGACUUGAGUGCAGAAGAGGAGAGUGGAAUUCCAUGUGUAGCGGUGAAAUGCGUAGAUAUAUGGAGGCACACCAGUGGCGAAGGCGACUCUCUGGUCUGUCACUGACGCUGUGGUUCGAAAGCGUGGGUAGCAAACAGG